rnacentral:rRNA from 1 species
UCUCCUGGAAACGGGUGGUAAUGCCGGAUGCUCCAGUUGACCGCAUGGUCCUCUGGGAAAGCUUUUGCGGUAUGGGAUGGGGUCGCGUCCUAUCAGCUUGAUGGCGGGGUAACGGCCCACCAUGGCUUCGACGGGUAGCCGGCCUGAGAGGGCGACCGGCCACAUUGGGACUGAGAUACGGCCCAGACUCCUACGGGAGGCAGCAGUGGGGAAUAUUGCACAAUGGGCGCAAGCCUGAUGCAGCGACGCCGCGUGCGGGAUGACGGCCUUCGGGUUGUAAACCGCUUUUGACUGGGAGCAAGCCCUUCGGGGUGAGUGUACCUUUCGAAUAAGCACCGGCUAACUACGUGCCAGCAGCCGCGGUAAUACGUAGGGUGCAAGCGUUAUCCGGAAUUAUUGGGCGUAAAGGGCUCGUAGGCGGUUCGUCGCGUCCGGUGUGAAAGUCCAUCGCUUAACGGUGGAUCCGCGCCGGGUACGGGCGGGCUUGAGUGCGGUAGGGGAGACUGGAAUUCCCGGUGUAACGGUGGAAUGUGUAGAUAUCGGAAAA